rnacentral:misc_RNA from 1 species
AAGGUCUGGACGCUCCUGAAGGUGGACCACCCGGCUGCGAAAGAUCUGCUCCGCUACCGCGAGCUCCAGAAAAAGCUCGGCACGUACCUGGAGACCUACCCCAAGUUUAUCCACCCGAAGACCGGGCGCAUCCACGCGAACUUCUUGCAAUGCCGGGUGCCGACCGGACGGCUGGCGUGCGCAAACCCGAACAUACAGCAGAUCCCGCACGAAGAAGAGUUCCGCCG